AAAAUGUCUUUGUUGAGUCUGAAUGGUUCAAGCAAUAGCAAAAAAGGAUUAUUUCUCUCUUGGACAUUUCAAAGUACUAUGCCACAAAAUAUCCAAGACUUGUUAUGGUGAGGAGCCAAGUGGAAUGGAAAGGACAGCUCAUCCUGGCGGCUGGGAGUGCAUGCACACACAUGCCCCCUUUUUCUUGCCUACUAACAGGAUCUAUAGAAGGAGUACAUAAUGAAGGAGGAGGCUUGCUCACAGGGUGGUUACAGGCAUCCAAGAGAGUCAGCAUAAAUGUGAAAAGUUUCCAAAAUAUCAGAUUCAGUCCUAUGUAAUCUGGUUUCCAUUGCAUUCUCUUGGCCAAAGCAACUUGCAAGACAAGUCCAAAUUCAAGAAGGUCAAGAAAUACACUCCAUCUCCAGGAUAUCUAUGACUUUGAGUUGAAAUAUCUGAGGCCAACACUCCAAGCAAUUUUAAACAAGUGGUGACAGAAAUUACCAGACACACAUCAAGACUCAAGUAUAAAGCUAUACAAUUUAAGGAUGCUCAGCAAAUGUUACUGAAUUGACUGGGUAGUCCCUAAAGAGCUGAAGAAUAAAAGAUGUUAUGAGAAACCCAACAAUACCAAAUAUAAAUUGCCUCAGGUUCUGAAAUAUUCAAUAAAGUAUUCUUACUGUAGUUCCUUCAGCUUAGCUGAUUUGGACUUUGG
rnacentral:lncRNA from 1 species